rnacentral:rRNA from 1 species
UGACACUGACACUGAGGUGCGAAAGCGUGGGUAGCAAACAGGAUUAGAUACCCUGGUAGUCCACGCCGUAAACGAUGUCGACCAGCCGUUGGGUGCCUAGCGCACUUUGUGGCGAAGUUAACGCGAUAAGUCGACCGCCUGGGGAGUACGGCCGCAAGGUUAAAACUCAAAUGAAUUGACGGGGGCCCGCACAAGCGGUGGAGCAUGUGGUUUAAUUCGAUGCAACGCGAAGAACCUUACCUACUCUUGACAUCCUGCGAACUUGUGAGAGAUCACUUGGUGCCUUCGGGAGCGCAGAGACAGGUGCUGCAUGGCUGUCGUCAGCUCGUGUUGUGAAAUGUUGGGUUAAGUCCCGUAACGAGCGCAACCCUUGUCCUUAUUUGCCAGCGGGUAAUGCCGGGAACUCUAAGGAGACUGCCGGUGACAAACCGGAGGAAGGUGGGGACGACGUCAAGUCAUCAUGGCCCUUACGAGUAGGGCUACACACGUGCUACAAUGGCCGGUACAAAGGGUUGCGAGCUCGCGAGAGUCAGCUAAUCCCGAAAAGCCGGUCUCAGUCCGGAUCGGAGUCUGCAACUCGACUCCGUGAAGUCGGAAUCGCUAGUAAUCGUGAAUCAGAAUGUCACGGUGAAUACGUUCCCGGGCCUUGCACACACCGCCCGU